AACUGAUACUACCUGCGGGAACCUGCGGAGGGAUCAUUACUGAGGAGGGUCCAUGGCCCGAUCUCCAACCCUUUGAUAAAAACACCAUGUUGCUUUGGCAGGCCCGCCCGUUGGGGCCGCGGGGGAUCGCCGGUCCCUAGCCCGUGCCUGCCGGUAGCCUUCACAAAACUCUCAAAAUGUUGUCGUCUGAGAUGAUUAGAAUAAUAAAACUUUUAACAACGGAUCUCUAGAUCGGAAGAG
rnacentral:misc_RNA from 1 species